rnacentral:misc_RNA from 1 species
GAUGAAGAACGUAGCGAAAUGCGAUACGUAAUGUGAAUUGCAGAAUUCAGUGAUUCAUCGAAUCUUUGAACGCAUAUUGCGCUCUCUGGUAUUCCGGAGAGCAUGCUUGUUUGAGUAUCAGUAAACACCUCAACUUCCAUAUCUUUUUUGAAAUGGGAGUUGGACUUGAGUGAUCCCAACGCUUUUCCUCACCGAAAAGUGGCGGGUUACUUGAAAUGCAGGUGCAGCUGGACUUUUCUCUGAGCUAUAAGCAUAUCUAUUUAGUCUGCCUAAAAAACAGAUUAUUACCUUUGCUGCAGCUAACAUAAAGGAGAUUAGUUCUUGUGCUGACUGAUGCAGGAUUCACAAAGACAGGCUUCGGCCGACUUUGUAAACUCGAUCUCAAAUCAAGUAAGACUACCCGCUGAACUUAAGCAUAUCAAUAAGCGGAGGA